rnacentral:rRNA from 1 species
CGGCGGACGGGUGAGUAACACGUGGAUAACCUACCUAUAAGACUGGGAUAACUUCGGGAAACCGGAGCUAAUACCGGAUAAUAUAUUGAACCGCAUGGUUCAAUGGUGAAAGACGGUUUUGCUGUCACUUAUAGAUGGAUCCGCGCCGCAUUAGCUAGUUGGUAAGGUAACGGCUUACCAAGGCAACGAUGCGUAGCCGACCUGAGAGGGUGAUCGGCCACACUGGAACUGAGACACGGUCCAGACUCCUACGGGAGGCAGCAGUU